UACGUAGGGUGCAAGCGUUGUCCGGAAUUAUUGGGCGUAAAGAGCUCGUAGGCGGCUUGUCGCGUCUGCCGUGAAAGCCCGGAGCUCAACUCCGGGUCUGCGGUGGGUACGGGCAGGCUAGAGUGCGGUAGGGGAGAUUGGAAUUCCUGGUGUAGCGGUGGAAUGCGCAGAUAUCAGGAGGAACACCGAUGGCGAAGGCAGAUCUCUGGGCCGCUACUGACGCUGAGGAGCGAAAGCAUGGGGAGCGAACAGG
rnacentral:rRNA from 1 species